rnacentral:lncRNA from 1 species
UUAUCUGUAAGAUUUUCUUAGAGGGAGUUAGAGUGUGGUUCCGGUUCAGUGUUAUCAGUGAUAGCAUUCUGAUUCUUGGUCUGUAUCCAGAACAUUGUAAAAUUGGCAACCCCAGUUGAACCUUUUGCUUUCAAUCAAAGCAGGGCCAGCAAUGGUCUGUUAUCUAAAAAAAUCUCCCACAACGCGGAAAUGAAAGGAGAGGCUGACUGACCGGUGACUACGGUCAUGGAUCACGAUAUAGGCUCAUCCCGAUAAAUGUUACUACAUGU